rnacentral:lncRNA from 1 species
GUCCUCUGCCCCCACCCCUACCCUCGCAGGUCCUCUGCCCGACCCUGCAGGUCUCUGCCCGCCCACCCAGGCCCCAGUGCAGGGAACCGGAGUGGCUCCAGGCUCACAGCCUCAGCCCAGGCAGCACCGGGGGUUGUCUCUGGGUGGCCGGGGCAGAGUAAGGGGUCAGCCAGGGAACCUCUGGUGCAUUGAGGACACCUUCCUGCAUGAGCAGGACUGGGCGCUGUGUCCUCAGAUCCUCGGGAAUGACCGGCGGCCGGGGCACCCGGGAGAGCCUGCAUCUCUGGCUCUUCCAGGACACAGGGGAGUGAGAGGGACGGUCACUUCCCAGGGGGCAGUUCUGCCAAGUGUCACUGGGAGAUGCGUGGCUACAGGCCGUGCCCUGGGCUGCGUCUAGUCAGCCUUGAUGAGACGGGUCCUGGGGGAGCCGCAGUGGCAGACGUGCCCACGCUGGCGCUGCAGGGGACACGCCUGCUUAAACCAGCAGAGCGGCCACUGCCUGUGUUAAUAUUUAUUUCACAAUAUUUUAGGGAUAUUUAUUAAAUAAUUCUAAGACUUAAUACAAGUCCAGCUCCUCUCAGAAAACGUUAUGACGUUGAAGCGAAAUGGCACGGGGUAGGAUGAAGGGAUUUGCACAGAAGCCUGGCAUCUUAAGGAAUUUGAGGUGCUUCAUGAUCGAGAGGCGUCUGCCGUCUAGGAACCCGUCACAUGGGAAACGGUUUCUUCAAUCGGAUCAACUAUUGGAAUCUCCACAUCAGUUGGGAGGCCUUGUGCAUGAAAAGUUGGGACGCGCGUGUCCAUGGCGCGUGGAGCCAAACAGAACACCGUCCAGCGCCAAGAAGGUGACCUUCGGGUUGAGCAGGAACAUGACGGCAGGUGAGUGCGGCUUUGCGUCCUCAGGGCCGCUGGCGUCCGCUCGGGGCCCGACCUGCCCCGGGGAGGGGACCCAUGAGCCAGGGCUGCCCCUGUGGCCACCCUGCCCCGGGGGAAAGGGCACUGGUGUCACGGUUCCUGGCAGUGGCUCCAUUCACUUGUUCUCUUUUUCAAAGGGAAGCAAGCUUUCUUGAAGUACGCGAUGGGUUUAGGUCCCGGUUCUUUGGGGACCGCGAGUAAAUGCGUGUGUGAGCAGGUGCAGAGGGAGGGGCUGUGUGCAGAGA